UAUUCCUCUGUUCCCGUUCAAAACCAGUGGGGAAGAAAUUGGGGAUUGGAAUGGAAUUGGUUGCCACCAGUGAGCGAGGAGAGGCUGCCGAGGUGUCGUGUGGAGUCGAUUCACAGUCCGUCACGGUUUCAGUGAGGCGGAGGAGAUACGGGCCAGGACGGCGCGACGCCCUGCAGGACGGCGCGAAGGGGAGAGGAGCCGAACCAGGGCCUCGCGGCGGAGAGAAGAAGGAGGCGCGGAGGCAGUGGAGGGCGAGCUCAUCGCAGUGGCAUAGGAAGCAAGGUCGUCGCGGCGGCAGAGAUGCUUGGCAGGAAAUGAUUGGACAUUCUUCUGCCCCUCAAAGCAUUGAUGUACACGGGUGUGGUCAGUGACAUGAGAUGAAUAACAGAGCAUGCCACCAACAGACUCACACAUGGAUCCAACUUCAAAAUAUGCUCUUGCCCAAUGUCUUGGCUCUGUAUUCAUGAUGUCUUUGGCACCUUGUGGUGUUUCAAGUGCAAGCUUGGCCUUGUAAUAGUUGAAAUCUUCUUUAUUUGAAGCCUUUGCAAUGGCCCAAAUUUUUUUUUGUAAAUCAUGUCCUCUAUGUUUCUUUCUCCAGUUGGCAUAGAUGUGCCUAGCACACAUCCUAUGUUCGGCCCUUGGAAGAUAAUUUCUCAUGCUAUUAAUCAAUCCCUGCAUACAAGUACAUAUGGCAUUAAUUUUCAUUUAAUAUUGACAUUACAAAAAAAAUACGGCAGUGAUAUUCAUACAUGACAUAAUUGAGAAUGUUCACCUUUUGUUGAUCAGAAAUGAAUACCCAGCCAGCUCCAUCAUCAUUUAUAUUCAAGUCCUUGAUCAACAAGCCAAUGAACCACUCCCAGUUCUCUGUAGUCUCUUUCUCCACUACCGCCCAAGCCACGGGGUACAUUUGGUUAUUAGCAUCUCUUCCAAUAGCACAUAGAAGUUCACCUUGACAUGCUCCUUUGAAGAAACAACCAUCAAGGCCAAUAACUUUUCUACAUCCAGCUUUAAAUCCAUCCUUCAAUGCCUUAAAGCAGACAUAGAAUCUCUGAAAAAUAUUUUUGUCCAUUAUACUAGGAUCCAGGCACACAGCAACGGUGCUUCCAGGGUUGCUCCUGAGCAGCUCCAACUGGUAAUCAAAUACCUUAGUAUACUCUCCUUGCAACCCUCCUAAUAACUUGUCCAUGACUAUCUU